rnacentral:rRNA from 1 species
UGGGGGAUAUUGCACAAUGGGCGAAAGCCUGAUGCAGCGACGCCGCGUGGGGGAUGAAGGCCUUCGGGUUGUAAACUUCUUUUGCUCUGAACAAGGCAUGCUAAUGGGUGUGUUGAGUGUAGGGGUUGAUUAGCGCCGGCUAACUACGUGCCAGCAGCCGCGGUAAUACGUAGGGCCGGGGGGUGUUCGGAAUUUAUUGGCGUUAAGGGCUUGGUGGUGGCUGGUUGCGUCUGGCGUGAAAGCUCAUGGCUUAACUGUGGGUUUGCGGUGGGUACGGGCUGGCUUGAGUGCAGUAGGGGAGGCUGGAAUUCCUGGUGUAGCGGUGGAAUGCGCAGAUAUCAGGAGGAAUACCGGUGGCGAAGGCGGGUCUCUGGGCUGUUACUGACACUGAGGAGCGAAAGCAUGGGGAGCGAACAGG